GUGGGGAAUAUUGGACAAUGGGCGCAAGCCUGAUCCAGCCAUGCCGCGUGAGUGAUGAAGGCCUUAGGGUUGUAAAGCUCUUUCAGUGGGGACGAUAAUGACGGUACCCACAGAAGAAGCCCCGGCUAACUCCGUGCCAGCAGCCGCGGUAAUACGGAGGGGGCUAGCGUUGUUCGGAAUUACUGGGCGUAAAGCGCACGUAGGCGGACUGGAAAGUCAGGGGUGAAAUCCCGGGGCUCAACCCCGGAACUGCCUUUGAAACUCCCAGUCUUGAGGUCGAGAGAGGUGGGUGGAAUUCCGAGUGUAGAGGUGAAAUUCGUAGAUAUUCGGAGGAACACCAGUGGCGAAGGCGGCCCACUGGCUCGAUACUGACGCUGAGGUGCGAAAGCGUGGGGAGCAAACAGGAUUAGAUACCCGUGUAGUCC
rnacentral:rRNA from 1 species